rnacentral:rRNA from 1 species
AACGAACGCUGGCGGCAUGCCUAACACAUGCAAGUCGAACGAGACCUUCGGGUCUAUUGGCGCACGGGUGCGUAACGCGUGGGAACCUGCCCUUAGGUUCGGAAUAACUCCCCGAAAGGGGUGCUAAUACCGGAUAAUGUCUUCGGACCAAAGAUUUAUCGCCUUUGGAUGGGCCCGCGUUGGAUUAGCUAGUUGGGAGGGUAAAAGCCUACCAAGGCGACGAUCCAUAGCUGGUCUGAGAGGAUGAUCAGCCACACUGGGACUGAGACACGGCCCAGACUCCUACGCGAUGCAGCAGUGGGGAAUAUUGGACCAUGGGCGAAAGCAUGAUCCAGCACUGCCGCGUGAGUGAUGAAGGCCUUAGGGUUGUAAAGCUCUUUUACCCGGGAUGAUAAUGACAGUACCGGGAGAAUAAGCUCCGGCUAACUCCGUG